AUCCAAAGGGCCAAAUCGCUUCUUCCUCCCUUCGCACUCCCUCCCCACGAAACCGCCGCCUCCGCACUCCGCCACGCACGGCUCAGAUCCCGCCGCGAGGGACACGAAAGCUCUUCCGUCGUUUGGGACGCGCUGCCGCCGCCCAUCCUCCUCUCGACGAGGGUGUCGUCGUCGCCUCCACCAAUCUUCCAUGCCUGUGGAGAUGCUGCCGUCCGCACGGCCAGGGGCGGUUCAACACCGACGUAGCCUGCGAGCUAGGGUGCCGCAUAUGGCGCGUCCAGCGUCCUCAGCCAAGAAGCACGCGAUGGUGCUGAAGAACGUCUCCAGCUAUUCAACUGUCCAAGCGUUGCGUGUUGAAGCCGCUGGAAGUUGGCUCCGUGAGAUCAAAGACCAAUCGUGCGUAAUGCGAGCAGCAGCACCUGUUCAUGGGCAUGGGCGACACGAAGCCGAACGAGCAGGGCAAGUGGAGACCGAGGCGUUCCUUAUAGCAAUUAGUGCCAGUUAACUCGCCGCAUUGCCAAGCUCAGAUGGAUCAUCCGCCUCCCGUGCUACAAGACCCAGGUCCGCCUCACGGUCAACAGGCGGCGCCGGAAUGCUGGAUCCCCAUCAUGGCACCCUUUCACCGUCCUAGAUUUGAGGGAAUAUGGUACCCUGUGAUGCAGUUGGAUGGUUCUAAAUCAAAGUGUAAUCUUUACCGUUCUUUUGAUCAGGACCAACCGGCAAUGAGUGACCAAAGUUGCUUUGUUUACUUUCUCUCACAAGCUGCACAUCACAUCCUGAUGUCUUCAGUUCCAAGCUUCAACUUAAUUCUGUAAUAAUUAUCUAACACUAAUCUGCAUGCCCACCAUUUGCUAUGUACCACUUCUAUAUGAGAUAAAAUAAUUUGGUAUUGAGGAUCUCAUUUUUCCUUGGAAGCUACUUCGAACCAGUAAGCCACUAUAUAUUGGUGGUACUUCUCUCUGAUGUUUCCUUCGGUGGGAUGUUACUCCAAUCAGUAAGUUCAACAAAAACUAUGCAUAUUGUAUUUAAUAAACCUUGGGCCUUAGCCCUUUGCUGAGAACAUGCAAUAUCUAUUUAAGUUGUUUACAUCUUGAUUUACAAACCAGUUCGGUUUUAUGAGUUAUGGACUUAUGUCAAUUCAAUAGUUGUAGGUGAUAAACUGAUAACCCUUAUAU